rnacentral:tRNA from 3 species
UCCUCGGUAGCUCAGCGGUAGAGCAUUCGACUGUUAAUCGAAUGGUCGCAGGUUCGAAUCCUGCCCGGGGAGCCA